rnacentral:tRNA from 1 species
ACUUAAAUAGUUCAAGAAGAACGUGAUAUUGAAGAUAUCUAGGUGAUUUGUUAAUCUUUAAGUA